AGCGCGUGUGUGUGUGUAUGUGAGUGAGUGCCAGGGUGUGUGCGUGUUUUGAAACGGUUCCCGUCGCCCUCUCCCUCCUCCCUCCUUCUCCACCACAACUCCGACACCCGGCGAUAACGGGCGUAAAGACUCCACAGAAAGACGUUUAAAAGAGUACAUACCGAUUGCUGCUUACGCUAAACACUGCACAACGACGACCAAUGUGACCUUUACAACGAGCGGACUCAGAGUGUCUUCCAGGGAGGAGCCAAGACAGCUUUGUUGAGAUGCCGGAGGUACUGGUUUGGAGAUUCCCAAGUAUUGCGAUAUUUUCAUCUUUUAUCUUUUCCAGAAGGAGAUCUUCGAUUGCAAAUAGUAGUGAUUUUAGCUUUUCGGAUAUGUUUUAGCUCCCUAAGAACACAGAGCAUUUAUUGUAACGAUAUCUAUGAGUUAUGAGAAGGGUGUAAAUUCCCCAAGCGAUUACAGGUGUACGGGAAAUCCAAGCCAUGUUUUUUUGUUUUUGUUUCCGGGAGAGCGACGUUGGUGUUAGUAUAAGAUCGCUGUCUGUGUGUAUUCAUCAUCUACAAAAAAAAAAAAGAAAAAGAAAAAAAAAGGAAGGGCUGAGAAGAAUCAUGUCACUGGAGAAUAUAUGUGCUUUUGCUCUCCUGUCACUCAUCAAAAGCAGGGUUGCCAGACAGAUGGCCAUUGGGAUCGUCGUAAUGAAUUAUUAGCAUGUGAUAUUGUAGUGGACCGCCUGUGUACGUCCCCCACGGUCCACUACAUAUCCUUUCGCUCCCCCCCCCCCUUUCGAGAUGAAGA